GCCUAACAACAGACAAUCAAAAGCAACAAUGAAAGUUUUUGCUAUUCUAACCAUUACUCUUGUCUUAACUGGAGCCCACGCGGGCUUCUUGGAUGAAUUCAAAGCCACUCUUCAGUCCAUUGGUGAUAACAUCAAAAACGUAUACGCUGGAGUUAAGCCCCUGCUCAGCAGUGCUGUUGGUAAACUUGUCGGAGAAUUAAAAACAACUGGAUCUCAGAUCUUAGCACAGGGUGCACAAGCUCUUCUCGCUAGUCUUAAUGGAGGCAAUACCACCACACGUGAUGUUGAUCUUUUGGAUAAAGUCGGCCAAUUCAUCAAGAAUGGUGAAAGUAGUAUUGCAACUCUCUCCCACACCAUUGGAAAUCUUUUCAACGCUGCCGUUGCCAAGCUCACCGAGUUAGCUGGAAAGCUUGAAAACGCACGACUCUACGGACAACCCGUUAGCAAAUACAUCAGUGAAAUCGAAGAGG